AACGUAGGACGCAAGCGUUAUCCGGAAUUACUGGGCGUAAAGCGCGUGUAGGCGGGUCUGUAAGUCUGUCGUGAAAGCUCCCGGCUAAACUGGGAGAGGUCGAUGGAAACUACAGGUCUGGAGUUUGGCAGAGGAAUGUGGAAUUCCGCGUGUAGUGGUGAAAUGCGUAGAGAUGCGAAGGAACACCAGUGGCGAAGGCGGCAUUCUGGGCCACAACUGACGCUGAGACGCGAAAGCAUGGGUAGCGAACGGG
rnacentral:rRNA from 1 species